GCGCUUGAUAUAUAUUCAUGAGAGUUGAAGUCAUCGGUCUUUUCCCCGACUGUGUAGCAACGUUGCGCCAUUAAACGAAUCCAAAAACAUCGGUCAAAAUGAGACUAUGCUCGUACAGGCCCAUUGGUGAGAGGUUAAAGCCAGUAUUGAUGAUGAACAAGAUGGACCAUGCAUUGCUAGAGCUGCAGCUGGGCCCUGAAGAGCUGUACCAAACCUUUCAGCGCUUUCAUUCGAGAACGUCAACAUGAUCAUCUCCACCUAUGGCAAGGAUGAGAAUGGACCCAUGGGCAACAUUGUGUCGUUGGUACUAUUGGCUUUGGAUCUGGACUGCUUUCACUUUGAAGCAGUUUGCUGCAAAUGGUGAAGCACAGCUGGGACCAGCUGAAUGGUGCAAGAAGGUGGAGAACUUAAAGCUUUGGGAAGACGGGUGAGCUAGGAAAAACCCAAAAGAACAACACAACUGAAUCAAAUGUAAUUUCUUUAUGUAAAGUGACCAUUUCUUACAGGUACAUUAACCCUUCCUCUGGGAAGUGUAGCAAGUCUGCCACACCAGAUGGAAAAAGCUUCCCAGAACUUGCCCAUUUGAUCAUGGACCCCAUUUUAAAAAUAUUUGAUGCCAUCACAAACUUCGAGGGAAACCUCUAAACCGAUUGAGAAGAUGGACAUAAGAUUAAAUACUGAGGGCAAGACGAACACUUUGGAGAUUUAGAUGAAUUCAAACCGUAAAGUCAAGAUAUGACUGUGGUUUUAAAAUGCCUUAUUGUAUUAUGGACCGACAGGCAAUUGUGGUUUUUCCAUGUUCCUAGUAAAAUUGGAAAUUAAUGUUUUGUGCUUAAACUGUCAAAUACAAUUGCACAAUUUAUGUACUGUGUACAUGGCUUGUAUCCUAAUACAUAUGGACAUUGUGUGCUUGCUGUAGUAUUAAAAGAUAUUAGCAACCU